rnacentral:tmRNA from 1 species
GGGGGUGCUUUGGUUUCGACAGGAUUCCAGAUGCGCUAGCUGCAUGCCGAGGUGGGCUGGCCUCGUAAAACGCCCGAAAAAGAUAACCGGCACCGAUUACGCAAUCGCCGCUUAAACAGCAGCGCCGAAUUUUCUCCCUCUCCCGCUGGGUGAAGCAUUC